rnacentral:rRNA from 1 species
GCUACGGGAGGCAGCAGUGAGGAAUAUUGGUCAAUGGGCGCGAGCCUGAACCAGCCAAGUAGCGUGAAGGAUGAAGGCCCUACGGGUUGUAAACUUCUUUUAUAAAGGAAUAAAGUGAGGCACGUGUGCCUUUUUGUAUGUACCUUAUGAAUAAGGAUCGGCUAACUCCGUGCCAGCAGCCGCGGUAAUACGGAGGAUCCGAGCGUUCUCCGGAUUUAUUGGGUUUAAAGGGUGCGUAGGUGGGUUGUUAAGUCAGUUGUUAAAGUUUGCGGCUCAACCGUAAAAUUGCAGUUGAUACUGGCAGCCUUGAGUACAGUUGAGGUAGGCGGAAUUCGUGGUGUAGCGGUGAAAUGCUUAGAUAUCACGCAGAACUCCGAUUGCGAAGGCAGCUUACUAAACUGCCACUGACAUUGAUGCACGAAAGUGUGGGUAUCAAACAGGAUUAGAUACCCGAGUAGUC